UAAUUUGGAUAACGUAGACUAAUGCAACCAAAUCACUUUAUGCAGUACGUAGAACCUGUGAGAUGAAUGAUGCACACAGGCUCCAAAGAUGGUGGUGGUGGUGGUGGUAGUGAUGGUGCUGAUAGGGAUGGUGGUACUUGCUGGUGAAGAUGAUAAUGAUAGUGAUGUGUGUUGGUGCUGGUGAUGAAGAUGGUAGUCUAAUUAUUGCUGAUGAUUAAUGAUGAUUCUGAUCAUGGUGUUGAUAAGGUUGAUGGUGAUAAUGAUGGUUGGCAUAACAAUAACGGUGAUGGUGGUAGCAAUACUGCUGAUGUUAAUAAUGGAGAUGAAAGUAAUACUAAUGAUGGUGGUGAUGGCAGUGAUGGCUGGAAAUGAUGAUAAUGAUGGGGAUGGGGAUAGGGAUGAGGAUGGAUGCAGUGGUGGCAGUGUGAUAUGGCAAUCCUUGAUUGUGAAGGAAGUAUAAAGUGAUACAUAAUUGACCUCUGACCUGUUCUUCUAGGCUAGGAAGAAAGGAAGAUGCCCUUUCUAAAGAGAGCUCAUUGCUGGUCCACCACCAUGUUCUCCCUUUACCCUGGUGUAUUCAACCACAGAAGUAACUGGCAUGCCUGUUACCUGUCUGGCUCUCCUGCUUACCCUCCUCAUAACUUGGAACAAACAUCUUCUGGAGACUCUCCUGUGCAGCAGGCAGCAUCUGGCACCCGUGUCCUUCUGGCAUUCCAAUAAGCAAGGUGAUAUCACCUACCCCAUUCUACAGGCCUGGAAACUGAGAAGCAGAUAAAGUAGAAACUAGUUUAAAUUCCCAGACUGGAGUGCUAAUUCAGAUAAGGUGGCCCACAGAGCUACAUGCUCCUUGAUUAAGUGGGACUCCACUUAAAACAUGAAGACCCAAUUUCUAUGUCAUGCUUUACUGAAUAUGUUUACAAUAAGGACAUAUCUUUACAGAAAAGAGGUGAAGGAGAAAGAACUCAAAGCCUUGGACCUGGAGUCACAAAUGGUUACCAGCUGCACAUCAUGGGUGCUGGGAAACAAACUUGGGGCUUCUACAAGAACACUGCAAUCCUAACCUCAGGACCAUCUCUCUGGGGACUGAAUAAAGCCACAUGAUUACAUCUGUGGUCCAGUGAAGGUAGAAUAAAAUUGGCAUUAAGCUGUG